CUCUUCCUUUUUAAUAGAUUUUCAAGAUGGGAAAAUCAUAUUGCAACCCACAGGCAUUUGGAAACAAUUUGUGCCGAAGACAGAAAGUACACCUAACGUUAAGCUGAAAAAACUGGACGCUCCCAGCAAACUCACUUUGCAGACUCCUGGUUGUCAGAAGAAAACGCCAGAGGAUUUCACUUGGCAUUGACCUCUUACUACUUCCAGCCACUUACCCUGGGCAGUAGAAAGAAGGAACAGAAAGCAGAGUAGAUUAAGAGGAGCAAGUACAAAUGGCGUGGGACUUCAAAUCACCACCUAAGAUUACUUCUUUGAUUUCUGAAAAAGGCUUUGUUACAGGGUCAACUUCUCGAUGCUUGGCUCCUUCCUGUCUGAUAAGAACCAUCCCUCAGCCUUCAGACAAAC
rnacentral:lncRNA from 10 species